UACAGAGGGUGCGAGCGUUGUCCGGAAUCACUGGGCGUAAAGCGCACGUAGGCGGAUAUUUAAGUCAGGGGUGAAAUCCCAGAGCUCAACUCUGGAACUGCCUUUGAUACUGGGUAUCUUGAGUAUGGAAGAGGUAAGUGGAAUUGCGAGUGUAGAGGUGAAAUUCGUAGAUAUUCGCAGGAACACCAGUGGCGAAGGCGGCUUACUGGUCCAUUACUGACGCUGAGGUGCGAAAGCGUGGGGAGCAAACAGG
rnacentral:rRNA from 1 species